CUGGUCCGUCGCUGCCCUUCCCGGUGGCCUUGCCUGGAUCACUUGGUGUCCGUGGGUCUUCGGGAGGUGGGCACAGCCCCGCACGGUAGGAGAAAAGCGGGAUCAUCCCUGGGAUGUUCAGCAGAAACAACCGCGGGGGUCUGGGGAUCGGUGGCAGAAGAGAGCACGCGCGAUGCCCUGGGGAGGUGUAGAGGUGAGUGUGCUGUACGGGGGCACCUGGGCUGGGACGUAGGAGAAGGCAGAAGGGAUGAGGGCGCAGAGGGGUGGACGGGGCCGGAUCCUUCUCCUCUCCACCCCUUGAAAGCUGGGGUUUGCGUCCUGGGAUUAAUGCGGCCAUGGAGGGGCCGUGGGAGAAAGCCUGAACCCCUGGCUUAGAAAAUGCUGAAUUUUUUCUAAAAGCAGGGGGCAGGCAAACCUCAGCUUCUCUCUGCUUUGCAAAUUAAAUAGACCCAGGGAUGCUUUUGAGCCAUCUUGAGGCUUAAAAUGGGGCUGGCAGGGCCCUUCGCUGCACUCGUCCCUUCCCGAACGGAGAUGGCUCAUCCCGCAGGGUCUGAACUUGAGAUGCAAAGGAAGGAGCCGCUGUGGCGGCACAUCAUCGUGGUUCUCUAGCACCACGAUGGAGCCGCGGUGAGCGGGAUUUCUGGGGCAGCUUUUUCCCUUCUGUGUCUCUUCGGGGCUCUCAUGCCGCGUUCAGAGGCUGCGAGCAGGGACCCCGAGAGCCUGCGGUGCUGGGGACCCCGUCUGGGUGCUGCGAGGUCUGCUCAAACCCCGUUUUUGCAAGGAGCAGAGGAUGGUUUUGAGCUCUCCAGUAGCCCGUCCCUCCCCUCGAGCUGCCCUCGGAGCUCCCGGUUGAAAAAGGGGGAGGAAAAGGGGCGCAGGAGGAGAUGCGGGAGCUGGUGACAUCCACGCGCAGCUGUCAAGGGGGACCCAAACCUGCCCACCCCCUGGAGAUUGGUGAGGAUGAGCAGCCCCCUCCUCAUCCUCACUCACCAGCAGGCGGGGUCUCGUUUUUUGCUGCCUUUAUUAGACCGCAGAUAGCUUUUUUCUUUUUUUUUUUUUUUUUUUUCUUUUCCUCUCCAAAAAUCGAUGCAGUUGAUGGGAGCGGGUUUGCAGCAGCAGCGAGGCAAGGGAGGCUGGGGGAGGAUGAGGAUGGUGUUUUGGGAUAUCCCGAUCCCGUCAGGAGCAGGGACAAACUGAUCCAGGGCUUUAACAGCAAGAGCGGACUGGGGUGCUGGUGUUACUUUUUUUUUUUUUUUUUUAAUCUAGCUGUGGCUUUUGUUUGUUAUUCUUGAUUUUGUUUAAUAUUGAUGGUGUCUCCAGGAUUAAAUCGUGCCUCUAAGGGAGAUGUGUGGC